CCUACGGUAGGCAGCAGUGAGGAAUAUUGGUCAAUGGACGGAAGUCUGAACCAGCCAUGCCGCGUGCAGGAAGACGGCUCUAUGAGUUGUAAACUGCUUUUGUACAAGGGUAAACCUGAAUACGUGUAUUCAGCUGAAAGUACUGUACGAAUAAGGAUCGGCUAACUCCGUGCCAGCAGCCGCGGUAAUACGGAGGAUCCAAGCGUUAUCCGGAUUUAGUGGUUUUAAAGGGUGCGUAGGCUGAUUGAUAAGUUAGAGGUGAAAUGUCCGAGCUUAACUCGGGAACUGCCUCUAAUACUGUUGAUCUAGAGAGUAGAUGCGGUAGGCGGAAUGUAUGGUGUAGCGGUGAAAUGCUUAGAGAUCAUACAGAACACCGAUUGCGAAGGCAGCUUACCAAUCUAUAUCUGACGUUGAGGCACGAAAGCGUGGGGAGCAAACAGGAUUAGAUACCCCUGUAGUC
rnacentral:rRNA from 1 species